rnacentral:ncRNA from 2 species
CGACGCCGCGCGGGAGAGUCCCCACGCCGGUCGUGGGGCGCCGAAGGGGCAAUCUCCCCGACAAGCUCUCAGGCGCCAGGACCGCGCGGACCAG